GUUUGUUUUUGCAAUUUUCAUCCUUCAAGCCUGCUGCCUAAAUAUUCUAAAUAUAUGUAUUACUGGAUCUACAGUGGCUCUGAUUCAUCCUCCCCUCCAUGACAGUGUAAUCUGGAUUAUCCUUAAAGAGCCAAUUACUAUCACCUCAGAGCAGGGACAAAGGAGAGAAAAGCUCCAGGGGAAGCCUCCAGACAGCUUUAGACAAUUAUUGCAAAGGAAAGCUCUGCCAAGACCUACAGAACUGUUUCUCAUCUCACUUGUAUCCUGCUUCUGGCCUCCGUGGUUUUCCUGUGACAUUUUAACUCAUUGCAGCUUAUCUGAUGGAUGA
rnacentral:lncRNA from 1 species